rnacentral:rRNA from 1 species
AGAGUUUGAUCAUGGCUCAGGACGAACGCUGGCGGCGUGCUUAACACAUGCAAGUCGAACGAUGAUCCGGUUUCGGCCGGUGAUUAGUGGCGAACGGGUGAGUAACACGUGGGUAAUCUGCCCUGCACUCUGGGAUAAGCCUGGGAAACUGGGUCUAAUACCGGAUAUGACCUUCGGUCGCAUGAUCGUUGGUGGAAAGCUUUUGCGGUGUGGGAUGGGCCCGCGGCCUAUCAGCUUGUUGGUGGGGUGAUGGCCUACCAAGGCGACGACGGGUAGCCGGCCUGAGAGGGUGACCGGCCACACUGGGACUGAGACACGGCCCAGACUCCUACGGGAGGCAGCAGUGGGGAAUAUUGCACAAUGGGCGCAAGCCUGAUGCAGCGACGCCGCGUGAGGGAUGACGGCCUUCGGGUUGUAAACCUCUUUCAGCAGGGAAGAAGCGCAAGUGACGGUACCUGCAGAAGAAGCACCGGCUAACUACGUGCCAGCAGCCGCGGUAAUACGUAGGGUGCAAGCGUUGUCCGGAAUUAUUGGGCGUAAAGAGCUCGUAGGCGGCUUGUCGCGUCGGUUGUGAAAGCCCGGGGCUUAACCCUGGGUCUGCAGUCGAUACGGGCAGGCUAGAGUUCGGUAGGGGAGACUGGAAUUCCUGGUGUAGCGGUGAAAUGCGCAGAUAUCAGGAGGAACACCGGUGGCGAAGGCGGGUCUCUGGGCCGAUACAUGACGCUGAGGAGCGAAAGCGUGGGGAGCGAACAGGAUUAGAUACCCUGGUAGUCCACGCUGUAAACGGUGGGAACUAGGUGUGGGCAGCAUUCCACGUUGUCUGUGCCGUAGCUAACGCAUUAAGUUCCCCGCCUGGGGAGUACGGGCCGCAAGGCUAAAACUCAAAUGAAUUGACGG